GCCACCCAGAGGGAGGUUUUUAGCAAGGACUCUCAAUGUGGGUAGGAAUGAAUGUCACAGAAUAUAUUUCCAUCUAUCGAACACCUGUUCUGUGCUGGGCAUUUACCUCAGCUAGUCCUCCUGACAUUCUCCCAAGAUCCUGGUGUAAACUCAGGUUCUCAGGGGGGAAAUGACUUGCUGGAGAAGACACAGCAAGACAGAGCCUGCACUCAGACCCACAGCCCAGACUGCUGCUGCAUCAGCUUGCUCCCAAAGCCAGCUGACCAUCCCUGAACUCUUCGGGCUCAAUGUGGCAAUUUGCCCAGCAGAGAGCAGAAGUUCUAUGUCUAAGCACAAAGGGAAAAAUGGAUAUUUGGUCCUGUUUAUCCCUCUUCAGCUUGGACUGUUUCCUGGCACAUGGUAGACAUAUGAUCAUUAUGGAUGGAAUGAG